rnacentral:lncRNA from 1 species
GUUGGUUUUUUUUGGACCUUAAUAUCAGAAUUCUUGAAUAACAAAAAUGUAUGACAAACAAUGCAACUUUUCUAUUAUCUAUUUCCAAUUAUAGCCACAUAUAAGUAUAAGAUAGCAUGAUUUAAAUACCUGUAGUGUUUUUCCACUGACUAAGAUUAUGAAUGGUAUCUCAAUGUAUUAAAAUAGGAUUGCUGUCUCAAUUACAUGAUAUUCUCAGAUCUCAUAAGCUAUAUUCAGGGUAUCAGCCUCCAAAUGUAUUAACACAGCAUGACUUUGAAUAUUUAAAGUUUUUUAACUUAAUAACAAUGGCAAUUUUAGCAAUUCAGCAAGCAUAUCAAUGUAAUUUUAUAAACAAGACCCCCUCAGUUUGGUGUUUAUUCACGAAUAUUGGUCCAGUUGGUUUUUUUCUUUGUUUUUUUUUUAAAUUUUGUAUAACAUGUUUAAAGUUAGAAAUAAAAAAAUAGACAUUACACAACGACACAAUUCAAGUGAUGGCUAACAACUAAAAGGUUUUUUUAAUAAAAUAGAGCAAUAUCUAUAAGUUUAACUCUGGUUUUCACCUGACAAUACCUGUAUCUGUGUGUAUCUUUCUAUAGUUUAUUCAUAUUAAAAUACCCAAGAGUUACGAUCAACAAUGGUAAACAAUUCUGAUCAAUGAAUCACUACAUAUAAAAGUACUGCAUCCUGAAUACAUUGACUGAAUUGUUUCACACUCUAAUAACAUAAUCACU